GGAAAAAUUUCAACAAAUGUCUGGAUACCACAAUAUGAUUGUAACACGUGAAUUGAAGUCAGACACCUUACUGUACCACCAUGCAACAGUAUCAUCUAUCUUCCGUAACCGCCGAACCCCUUUCGGUGACGUAGACGUUGUUCGUCAGUAUAUAGAUAAUUUUAGUGAUAGAGCAGCCCUUUUUUAUGGUUUGGCAGAUUCCCUAGAGAGCUGCAUUGGGAAGUAACAGUAAAGCAGAAUACCUACAGUCCAUGAAGUUGAGAAAUGAAGAAAUGCAGCUCUGAAUUGUUUAAUACGGUGUGUGGGGAAAACUUUGUGGAUAUGAAGCAUAGAAAUCAUGUAUCAAUUCGAAGUAACAGUAACACAGAAUGGCUGGAGACCAGUAACUUUAGAACUGAAGAGAUGCAGGUCAUUGUUCUAUAUGGUGAUUGAUGGAACUAUGGUGCAGUUUUGAAUUGAUAAGGUGUGAAGUUACAGAAAAGCAGAAUAGCUACAGACCAUGAAAUUUAGAAAAUGAAGAGAUGCAUGUCUCAGUUCAGCAUGGUGUAUAUGGGAAACAUUGUGGGUCACAGACCUCUGUUCAACAUUGUGUAUAUGGGAAACAUUGUGGGUCACAGACAUGAAAUGAUUUGUGUGAAGUAACAGUAAAGCAGAAUGGCUACAGACAAUUAGUUCAGAAUGGAAGAAGAGAUGCAGGUCUUUGUUCUAUAUGGUGUAUGAGGGAACCAUGGUGGAAAUUUGGAUUUCAUGGCAGUCAUAGAAAUAUCUAAUAAGUCUGUAGGAAAGUGAUGUGUGUACCAGUCUGUCAGACUUUUACCUGUCUGUCCAGUCAACAAAUUCGCAAUAGAUGCGUAGAUUCUCAGAUAAUUUGGCAGAGUUUUCACAGUUACUAAGACAGAUUAUAAAAGAUUUUUGGACUAUAUUCCUGUGCGGAUAGAUUAAAAAACUACUCCAGACUGGUAGACAUGACAGAUGUUUAUUGGAAAUAUGAUCAUGGACUUAAAACUUUGAUGUGUAGCAAAAAAAAUCAUCGUUGAUGAUAGUGAUU